rnacentral:rRNA from 1 species
GAUGAACGCUAGCGGCAGGCCUUACACAUGCAAGUCGAACGGCAGCACGGGAGCAAUCCUGGUGGCGAGUGGCGAACGGGUGAGUAAUAUAUCGGAACGUGCCCAGUCGUGGGGAUAACGUAGCGAAAGCUACGCUAAUACCGCAUACGAUCUAUGGAUGAAAGCGGGGGAUCGCAAGACCUCGCGCGAUUGGAGCGGCCGAUAUCAGAUUAGGUAGUUGGUGAGGUAAAGGCUCACCAAGCCGACGAUCUGUAGCUGGUCUGAGAGGACGACCAGCCACACUGGGACUGAGACACGGCCCAGACUCCUACGGGAGGCAGCAGUGGGGAAUUUUUGGGACAAUGGGCGCAAGCCUGAUCCAGCAAUGCCGCGUGCAGGAUGAAGGCCUUCGGUUGUAACUAGCUUUUGUUACGGUAACGGAAACGGUAGAG